rnacentral:rRNA from 2 species
UGGGCGUAAGCGCGCGCAGGUGGUUUCUUAAGUCUGAUGUGAAAGCCCACGGCUCAACCGUGGAGGGUCAUUGGAAACUGGGGAACUUGAGUGCAGAAGAGGAAAGUGGAAUUCCAAGUGUAGCGGUGAAAUGCGUAGAGAUUUGGAGGAACACCAGUGGCGAAGGCGACUUUCUGGUCUGUAACUGACACUGAGGCGCGAAAGCGUGGGGAGCGAACAGGAUUAGAUACCCUGGUAGUCCACGCCGUAAACGAUGAGUGCUAAGUGUUAGAGGGUUUCCGCCCUUUAGUGCUGCAGCUAACGCAUUAAGCACUCCGCCUGGGGAGUACGGUCGCAAGACUGAAACUCAAAGGAAUUGACGGGGGCCCGCACAAGCGGUGGAGCAUGUGGUUUAAUUCGAAGCAACGCGAAGAACCUUACCAGGUCUUGACAUCCCACUGCCCGGUAUAGAGAUAUACCUUUCCCUUCGGGGACAGUGGUGACAGGUGGUGCAUGGUUGUCGUCAGCUCGUGUCGUGAGAUGUUGGGUUAAGUCCCGCAACGAGCGCAACCCUUGAUCUUAGUUGCCAGCAUUUAGUUGGGCACUCUAAAGUGACUGCCGGUGA